GCGAUGCGGGGCAUGCGUAGAUGAGACUCCAUCUGCCCGGAGCUGCUUUCCUGAGCCUUGGAGGACAGCUUCGUCAUGGCUCCUAGACUUCCGUUUAUCCUUGCUGCCUAUCUGUUGCAGGCUGCAGCCUGGCCAUCCUGCAGGCUGGGAAGCACAGCCCCUGGCAAAAACCAGACGCGAGCACUUCAGAGAAGGAAGGAUGAGACAGGAAUUGAAGCUGAACAGUAAUUGGUGUGGAUGCCCAGAAGAACUGAAUUAACUGCAUGAGCAAACUUCUUAUA
rnacentral:lncRNA from 1 species